GUCAGAGGAGACAAAGGUCUAGCAAAGGCCCGAGCAGGACGCUAUGCGAAGUCUCUGUCAACAUGAGAAGGCCGACACUCGUGAAGAAAGAAGUCUGUCAUGAGAAAGCCUCGUCAAGGGACUGUGAUUUUUCUGUGAAGCCAGCAGCCAGUUUUGGAGGCCUUCUCGCUCUCUAGAAGAACGGACGACACAGGCUGUGUCAGGUGGACAUUGGCUCCUAUGAGAGGCUGCCUCUCUCUGCUUUUGCUCUGUGUUGCUUUAACAUGUUUGAUUUCUUUAAGCUGUUAAGCUCUAGCCUGGCAGUUCACAGCUGUUCAGCUUUUCCCAGGUCUCAGGAUGCAAACACAUGGCCCCACUGACACAAGGCUAGCUUUCUCUGUAUCCAUUCUGUCCCUGCGAGAACUGCGGCAGAGAGAAGCGAAUGUCUCGGGGGUCAGGUGCGUCACAGAAGCCAAACCUCAGGAGAGGAGGGAAGUGGAUGGUGUUGUACCAGGCCACGCACCCGUGUGGUGUGUGUGGUGUCUGUGUGUGUGUGUGUGGUAUGUAUGUGUAUAUGUGGUGUGUGUGUGUGUGGUUUGUGUAUAUGUGUGUGUAGUGUGUGUGUGUGGUAUGUAUGUAUAUAUGUGGUGUGUGUAUGUGUAGCAUAUGGGUGGUGUGGUGUGUAUGUAUACAUGUGUGUAGUGUGUGUGGUGUGUGUAAAUGUGCAUAUGGUGUGUGGGUAUGUGGUGUGUGUGUGUAUGUAUGUAUGUGUGUGUUGCAUUAUAUGUAUAAGCCUGAUGGAUGUAGAGGCCAGAGGUCAUCCUCUGGAGUCACACCAUAGGAGCUGUUCACCUUGGGUUUCAAGACACAGUAUUUCACUGGCCUAGAACUCAGUGGACAGCUAAGCUGGCUGACCAGCAAACCCAGGGACCUGCCUGUCUCCGUCCCCAGCACUGGGAUUACCAAUGCACGUCACCAUGCCUGGCAUUUUACUAUGUGUUCUGGGGAUGGACCUCGGGCCCACCAGCUCCUGCGGCAAGCGUCUACCAGCCUCUGCUUCUGGGUUAAUGUUUGACAAAAGGGUGGUGUGGUGAUUGUUGCUGAUGUAGUUUAUGAGACAGGCCCUCUACGCAUACCCUGCCUGUCCUGGAACUCACUCUGUAGGCCAGGUUGGCCCUCAAACUCACAGAAAUCCCCCUGCCUCCAGAGUACUGGCAUUAAAGAAGUGUGCCACCACCACCCACUCGGGACCAGCUUCCAACUCGAUAUCUUCCUGCCUUGGCCUCUUGAGAGUGGGGAUCACAAGUUCAUGCUACCGUGCCCAGCACGGUGGAGUUUUGUCAAGGGAUGAGAUGCUUGGGGGGUCCCUGCUCAAUGUGUCUGCACAACUGUCAGAAGUUGCUGGGGUGUGGGCCUAUCUGUUCUCAACACCACUAUACCAGGACAAAGACUUUGCAAAAGCCGAGGUGAUUGAUAGAAGAGAAGGUACCUGGUAGCUAGCUACCUGCGCUGACCCCCGGGUGUGUCUGAUGUGCCCAGAUCUGAUGUCUCUCCAGGGACACAAAGCCAGGUAUAGCCUGUGUGGUACACACGCCUGAAUCCCAGCAUUCAAGAGAAAGGCACAUGACAUCAUCAUCGUCUUUGAGACUUGCUGUGACUCCACGAGACUCUGCAUCCGAAAAUUGGCAGAACCCUUCCAUACACCACUUGUUAUCCGGAGAGUCCACCAGAGAGGACCACACAGACACAGUCCGCUGCCAGUUGAAAGUCUGUGCUCAAAGACUGGGACCUAGGUGUAGCCGUGAGCAUUGAGAGGAAGAGGCUUUUGAAGGCAAAGCUACACCCUGCUAUCUUGCUCAGCAGCUCCCUGGAGAGU